AGUGAACGCUGGCGGUAGGCCUAACACAUGCAAGUCGAACGGCAGCACAGUAAGAGCUUGCUCUUACGGGUGGCGAGUGGCGGACGGGUGAGGAAUACAUCGGAAUCUACUUUUUCGUGGGGGAUAACGUAGGGAAACUUACGCUAAUACCGCAUACGACCUACGGGUGAAAGCAGGGGAUCUUCGGGCCUUGCGCGAUUGAAUGAGCCGAUGUCGGAUUAGCUAGUUGGCGGGGUAAAGGCCCACCAAGGCGACGAUCCGUAGCUGGUCUGAGAGGAUGAUCAGCCACACUGGAACUGAGACACGGUCCAGACUCCUACGGGAGGCAGCAGUGGGGAAUAUUGGACAAUGGGCGCAAGCCUGAUCCAGCCAUACCGCGUGGGUGAAGAAGGCCUUCGGGUUGUAAGGCCCUUUUGUUGGGAAAGAAAAGCAGCAGGUUAAUACCCCGCUGUUCUGACGGUACCCAAAGAAUAAGCACCGGCUAACUUCGUG
rnacentral:rRNA from 1 species